rnacentral:rRNA from 1 species
GAUGAACGCUGGCGGCGUGCCUAAUACAUGCAAGUCGAGCGAACGGACGAGAAGCUUGCUUUUCUGAUGUUAGCGGCGGACGGGUGAGUAACACGUGGAUAACCUACCUAUAAGACUGGGAUAACUUCGGGAAACCGGAGCUAAUACCGGAUAAUCUUUUGAACCGCAUGGUUCAAAAGUGAAAGACGGUCUUGCUGUCACUUAUAGAUGGAUCCGCGCUGCAUUAGCUAGUUGGUAAGGUCACGGCUUACCAAGGCAACGAUGCAUAGCCGACCUGAGAGGGUGAUCGGCCACACUGGAACUGAGACACGGUCAAGACUCCUACGGGAGGCAGCAGUAGGGAAUCGUACGCAAUGGGCGAAAGCCUGACGGAGCAACGCCGAGUGAGUGAUGAAGGUCUUCGGAUCGGAAAACUCUGUUAUUAGGGAAGAACAUAUGUGUAAGUAACUGUGCACAGCUUGACGGUAACUAAUCAGAAAGCCACGGCUAACUACGUG